UACGUAGGCUGCGAGCGUUGUUCGGAAUUACUGGGCGUAAAGAGUGUGUAGGCGGUGUUCCUAGUCUGGUGUGAAAUCUCCCGGCUUAACUGGGAGGGUGCAGCGGAAACUAGAAUGCUAGAGGGUGGGAGAGGUAAGCGGAAUUCCUGGUGUAGCGGUGAAAUGCGUAGAUAUCAGGAGGAACACCUGUGGUGUAGACAGCUUACUGGACCACUUCUGACGCUGAGACACGAAAGCGUGGGUAGCAAACAGG
rnacentral:rRNA from 1 species